rnacentral:rRNA from 1 species
UACGUAGGGUGCGAGCGUUAAUCAGAAUUACUGGGCGUAAAGCGUGCGCAGGCGGCUUCGCAAGUCAGACGUGAAAUCCCCGGGCUUAACCUGGGAAUGGCGUUUGAAACUACGGAGCUGGAGUGUGGCAGAGGGAGGUAGAAUUCCACGUGUAGCGGUGAAAUGCGUAGAUAUGUGGAGGAAUACCGAUGGCGAAGGCAGCCUCCUGGGCCAACACUGACGCUCAUGCACGAAAGCGUGGGGAGCAAACAGG